rnacentral:rRNA from 1 species
GAUGAACGCUAGCUACAGGCUUAACACAUGCAAGUCGAGGGGUAACGAGAGGAAAGCUUGCUUUCCUUGUCGACGACCGGCGCACGGGUGAGUAACGCGUAUCCAACCUGCCCCCAACUAGGGAAUAACCUUGCGAAAGUAAGACUAAUACCCUAUAAUUUCCUCAGAUGUCAUCUGACGAGGAAUAAAGAUUUAUCGGUUGGGGAAGGGGAUGCGUCUGAUUAGCUUGUUGGCGGGGUAACGGCCCACCAAGGCAACGAUCAGUAGGGGUUCUGAGAGGAAGGUCCCCCACAUUGGAACUGAGACACGGUCCAAACUCCUACGGGAGGCAGCAGUGAGGAAUAUUGGUCAAUGGGCGGAAGCCUGAACCAGCCAAGUAGCGUGCAGGAUGACGGCCCUAUGGGUUGUAAACUGCUUUUAUACAGGAAUAAAGUUAGCCACGUGUGGUUAUUUGUAGGUACUGUAUGAAUAAGGACCGGCUAAUUCCGUGCCAGCCGCCGCGGUAA